UUUUUUUUUUUUUUUUUUUUGGUAUUAUGUUCAGCUAUGAACUAAGCUUGAUAAUCUGAUUUAAUCUUUGAGGUUUACCAGUUUUCUGAAAUGUAAUCAUUGCACCUUAAUGGUAAAUCAUGUCCUCGUGAACUAAUUAUAAAGAUAGGCUUCAGUGCUUCAAAUCUUCAAAAAUAGAGUUGGAUCCAACAGUUCCAUCUUUUCGUGAUACUAUUUAUGGAAAUAACAGUUCUAAGCCGGAGUUUGACUCCAUUUCUUUUCAAUAUUUUUUUUUUUCCCUUUUUCUGGGAUGCUAAAGAUAACAGAUAAUGGGCUGGUGAGUUGUGAUGAGAGAGAACCUUUUUUUGGCUUCUUACCCUUAUAUGGACACUCUAUCAUGAGAACAAGCUCAGUGAGUCUCGGUGACAUGAUUUGAAAAGUAAUUCAUAGGUGUCAACUUCAGCAUAAGAGGCUUAUGAUUCCAUGAUGGCGUUUUUAUUUAGAUAUGAAUGCUUUUUUCAUUGGGGAAUAUACUUUUGUCCUCAUAGCCUUAAUUCCAUUUUAACAUGGUUUCUUUAAUGAUUGAGAAAAGCGCAAACUAGCAAUAGACAGAAAUUUCAGUUAGUCUGAAUACUGUUAAUAGGUAGAGUGUAGUUAUUUUCUAAGAAGUUCAUUUGGUGAGGUGAAAAAAUUUUUUCCACUUUUUAAGUUUUAUUAAAACGUAACAGUGUUGUAGUUUGAGUUGUACAAUAUAGUGGUUGAACUGUACAUUACUCAGUGCUCUUUAUAACAAAUGUACUCCUUAAUCUCCAGAGGUGGAAAAAUAUUUGGAAAUUUUCCCCCUUAUUUUUGGAUGUAAUGCUCUGACAGUAUUAAGCAAUUUUUACUAUUUUCAUGAAACGAGUUUAGAGUUAGUCAUUAUGCAGAAUAGAUAAAACCCGUGCGUUGAGAAGUAAGGAGACUAGAGACUGUUUCUCAUGACCAAAUAGAGGCAUAGAGGUUUUGUGCCACCUUUUAAGAUGUGCGAUGUUUCAUUUUGGGAGAUUUUUUUCUGAGUUGGAUGUUGUCAAACUUUCUGUCAAGGAUAGAUACUAAGUAUUUUAGACAAUAUAAUCUUUUGCAUCCGUUCUGCCACUGUAGCAUGAAAUCUGCCAUAGACCAUACAUAAAUUAAUUGAGAAGUCUUCUGCAGUAAAACUGCCCAGCUGGAGAUAGUAGUUUGCUGAUAGCUUCUAGAUAUUAAGGACCAAAUCUUUAACAACUUUAAAGUGAAAGAGAUGUGUUUUUUGAUAUAUACAGUAUUACCAGGGUGAUCAUUUAGUCUUAGAAAUUGCUUAACUUGUAAGAAAUUGAUUUUGCCCCUUUUAGUCAAACAUGGUUGUAGUAUUAUGUCCACACAGGAUAAAAUAUAUUGCAUCCCGAAUCACCCUGAAAGAAGUGCAAAUUUAUCACUGCAGUACAGAUACUAGUAAAUCAUGGGGAUACUUUUGAAAGGGCAGCCCUAGUUUCCUUUUCUCCCCUAAGAGUAUUUCUUUCCUGACUUGUUACUCUGCCAGCAUUCUCAACUAUACAUUUUAGAAAGUUAAAAAGUUCUUCAUUUGGAUUGUGCCUGUGAUAUUAUGGACGAUUCUAAAGAAAGAUGGCCUUUGGUGGAAACUAGAGCUUUUCUCUGAAGUAAUAGAGAAGUAUUUGGUAAAGAGUAUGUGAUCUUUUAAAAGAUUUUAUUUAUUCAUGAGAGACAUAGAGGGAGAGGCAGAUUCCCAGUAGGGAACCUGAUGUAGUAUUUGAUCCCAGGACCCCUGGAUCAAACCUGAGCCAAAGGCAGAUGCUCAACCACUGAGCCACUCAGAUGCUCCCCAAAAGCGUCUCUACCAGCAAUAGGACAUAAAAUGGAACAAGAGCUUUGAAAUAAGUGAGGGUCCAAGGUUUGUUAUUGCAAGUUGCUAUUCCAAGGCAUCACGUUCACAUCAGAAUUUCAGUGCCUGCAUUUGAAUUGAAGUCUAAUGGGUACCAGUAAGACAAGGCCCAGGUAAUAGCAACAGGUGGUGAAGUUAAGUCUUCAGUAGUGCAUGCUUCAGGCUAACAACUAGGCACAGAGAAGACAGUACUGAAAUAAUUUCUGGAGUGGAGGUGAGGGAAAGAUGGCAAGUCUGAUAGGCAAGAGGUAGAAUCAGUAUGUCAAAUCUGAACUGAGGAACUAGAUAUCAGAAACACUUAACUCAGCUUUAGUGAGGCUGCAAGCUGGUGAUGAGGUUAAGCCACACCAGAGGUGCCACAUGGUCAGUAAACCCAUAGACUAACACGUUGCAUUAAGGACUCAACCCCACCAUACCUAGUGAGAGGCAGGGCUAAACAGCUUCUAACGAAAUGAAGUUCAAAUCGCUUGCUCUAUCCAACCUGAGUAAGAACAGUUCUGAUUGAAGAGUAAGUGUACAUAUGAAGCCUACACUAGUUUACAUUUUAAGAUCUUAUCUAUUCAUCCGACAGAGAGCACAUGUGGGGUGAAUAGCAGAGGGAGCGGGAGAAGUAGGUUCCCUGCUGAGCAGAAAGUCCAAUGUGGGGCUCCAUCCCAGGACCCCGGGAUCAUGACCCGAGCCGAAGGCAGACAGACACUUCACUGAUUGAGCCACCCAGGUACCCCUAGUUUACAAUCUAAUGUCAAUGUCUUAAUAGUAAAUAUUUCUUGAAUCUGCAACUUCUCAAUUUAAAUCAUAAGCUGACUAAAAUGAGAGCCUAGUAGGCCAGACUCUGCUGAUUAGUUUGAAGAAUAAAGAUAACCCCUGGCUGAAGUUGAUUACAGCCUUGUAGGAAAAACAUUGCAAAUGAGUUUUCAAGUAUGUGUGGCAUAUAGGGUUAGUAUAGGGUAAAGUCAGAGGGUUCAGGGAAGGCUUUCCAGAGGAUGUCAUAGCUUGGUUUCAACGAAUGGAUAACAGUUUACUAAGGCACAAAGAGCAGAGGGAAAUUUUAGGCAAAGGAAUUGGUUUGUGCAAGGGCAUGCUACAGCCAAACGGGUUCAGGAAACCAUAAAUAGUUCAGUAGAAGUACAGGAGAUGGAGGUUAGGCUGCAGGGACCAGAUCACAAAGACCCUUGUUUACUGUGUUGACCAAACUUUGAUUUCACCCUGCAAGCAGUGGGGAACCAUCAAACACACUAAAAUUGAGCCAUCAGACACAGUGUUCCUUCUGGUUAGCUUUAAAAAUCCCUUAACAUGAUGGUCCGUGUAUGUGAUUGCUUAAAACUGUGCAAGGACAGGGAGCCUGGCUGGCUCAAAGGAGCAUGUAACUUCAUCUUGGGGUCAUGAGUUCGAGCCCCACAAUGGGUAUAGAGCUUACUAAAAGAAAAAAACAAAAAA
rnacentral:lncRNA from 1 species